rnacentral:rRNA from 1 species
GUCGCAUGCUCCCGGCCGCCACGCGGCCGCGGGAAUCGAUUAGAGUUUGAUCAUGGCUCAGAUUGAACGCUGGCGGCAGGCCUAACACAUGCAAGUCGAGCGGCAGCGGGGGGAAGCUUGCUUCCCCGCCGGCGAGCGGCGGACGGGUGAGUAAUGUCUGGGGAUCUGCCCGAUGGAGGGGGAUAACCACUGGAAACGGUGGCUAAUACCGCAUAACCUCUUUGGAGUAAAGUGGGGGACCUUCGGGCCUCACGCCAUCGGAUGAACCCAGAUGGGAUUAGCUAGUAGGUGGGGUAAUGGCUCACCUAGGCGACGAUCCCUAGCUGGUCUGAGAGGAUGACCAGCCACACUGGGACUGAGACACGGCCCAGACUCCUACGGGAGGCAGCAGUGGGGAAUAUUGCACAAUGGGCGCAAGCCUGAUGCAGCCAUGCCGCGUGUAUGAAGAAGGCCUUCGGGUUGUAAAGUACUUUCAGCGGGGAGGAAGGCACAGCGUGAAUAGCGUUGUUGAUUGACGUUACCCGCAGAAGAAGCACCGGCUAACUCCGUGCCAGCAGCCGCGGUAAUACGAAUCACUAGUGAAUUCGCGGCCGCCUGCAGGUCGACCAUAUGGGA